rnacentral:rRNA from 1 species
CUACGGGAUGCACCAGUGAGGAAUAUUGCACAAUGGGGGGAACCCUGAUGCAGCAACGCCGCGUGGAGGAUGACGCAUUUCGGUGUGUAAACUCCUUUUAUAUGUCAAGAAAAUGACGGUAGCAUAUGAAUAAGCACCGGCUAACUCCGUGCCAGCAGCCGCGGCAAUACGGAGGGUGCAAGCGUUACUCGGAAUCACGGGGCGUAAAGGACGCGUAGGCGGGUUGGAAAAGCAGGUGUGAAAUCCUACAGCUUAACUGUAGAACUGCACUUGAAACUUCUAAUCUAGAGUAUGGGAGGGGGAGAUGGAAUUAGUGGUGUAGGGGUAAAAUCCGUAGAUAUCACUAGGAAUACCUAAAGCGAAGGCGAUCUCCUGGAACAUUACUGACGCUAAGGCGUGAAAGCGUGGGGAGCAAACAGGAUUAGAUACCCGCGUAGUC